rnacentral:rRNA from 1 species
UCCAGACUCCUACGGGAGGCAGCAGUGAGGAAUAUUGGUCAAUGGUCGUAAGACUGAACCAGCCAAGUAGCGUGCAGGAUGACGGCCCUAUGGGUUGUAAACUGCUUUUAUGCGGGGAUAAAAUGCGUCACGUGUGAUGUUUUGUAGGUACCGCAUGAAUAAGGACCGGCUAAUUCCGUGCCAGCAGCCGCGGUAAUACGGAAGGUCCGGGCGUUAUCCGGAUUUAUUGGGUUUAAAGGGUGCGUAGGCGGGCUUUUAAGUCAGCGGUAAAAAUUCGGGGCUCAACCCCGUCCGGCCGUUGAAACUGGGGGCCUUGAGUGGGCGAGAAGAAGGCGGAAUGCGUGGUGUAGCGGUGAAAUGCAUAGAUAUCACGCAGAACCCCGAUUGCGAAGGCAGCCUUCCGGCGCCCUACUGACGCUGAGGCACGAAAGUGCGGGGAUCGAACAGGAUUAGAUACCCGCGUA